UACGUAGGGGGCAAGCGUUGUCCGGAAUCAUUGGGCGUAAAGAGCGUGUAGGCGGCCCGAUAAGUCCGCUGUAAAAGUCCAGGGCUCAACCCUGGAAUGCCGGUGGAUACUGUCGGGCUCGAAUCCGGAAGAGGUGAGUGGAAUUCCUGGUGUAGCGGUGAAAUGCGCAGAUAUCAGGAGGAAUACCAAUGGCGAAGGCAGCUCACUGGGACGGUAUUGACGCUGAGACGCGAAAGCGUGGGGAGCAAACAGG
rnacentral:rRNA from 1 species